rnacentral:rRNA from 1 species
UACGUAGGGUGCGAGCGUUAAUCGGAAUUACUGGGCGUAAAGCGUGCGCAGGCGGCGCGUUAAGACAGGUGUGAAAGCCCCGGGCUCAACCUGGGAAUGCCAUUCGAGACUGCAUAGCUAGGGUGCGGAAGAGGGAAGCGGAAUUUCCGGUGUAGCGGUGAAAUGCGUAGAUAUCGGAAGGAACACCAGUGGCGAAAGCGGCUUCCUGGUCCAGCACCGACGUUCAGGCACGAAAGCGUGGGGAGCAAACAGG